UGGCCUUACCCUGUACAGGUUCAGCCCAAGGCAGGACACAGCAUGGACAUGAGGAUCCCCGCUCACUUUCUGGGCCUCUUGCUGCUCUGGGUCCCAGGUGCCAGAUGUGACAUCCAGUUGAUGCAGCCUCCAUCUGCAUCUGCAUCCGUGGGAGACACAGUCAAGAUCAGUUGCCGGGCCAGUCAGGGUAUUAGUGAUGACUUAGACUGGUAUCAGCAGAAAGGAGGACAAGCUCCUACACUUCUGAUCUAUUGGGCAAACAGAUUGCAGUCUGGGGUCCCAUCGAGGUUCAGUGGCAGUGGAUCUGGGACAGAUUUCACUCUCACAAUCAGCAGCCUGAAGCCUGAAGACUUUGCAACUUAACUACUGUCUACAGAGUAACAGUUUCCCU